rnacentral:rRNA from 1 species
GCUACGGGAGGCUGCAGUGAGGAAUAUUGGUCAAUGGUCGCGAGCCUGAACCAGCCAAGUCGCGUGAGGGAUGACUGCACUAAGUAUUGUAAACUUCUUUUAUAAGGGAAUAAAGUGAGGCACGUGUGCCGGUAUGACUGUACCUUAUGCAUAAGGAUCGGCUAACUCCGUGCCAGCAGCCGCGGUAAUACGGAGGCUUCGAGCGUUAUCCGGAUUUAUUGGGUUUAAAGGGGGCGUAGGUGGGUUUUUAAGGCAGGGGGGAAAGCGCGGGGCUCAACCGUAACACCGCAAUUGAUAUUGGCAGUCUCGAGUAGAGGAGAGGUAUGCGGAAUUCGUGGUGUAGCGGUGAAAUGCAUAGAUAUCUCGAAGAACUCCGAUUGCGAAGGCAGCAUGC